AUUGAACGCUGGCGGCAUGCCUUACACAUGCAAGUCGAACGGCAGCACGGGAGCAAUCCUGGUGGCGAGUGGCGAACGGGUGAGUAAAGUAUCGGAACGUGCCCAGUCGUGGGGGAUAACGUAGCGAAAGUUACGCUAAUACCGCAUACGAUCUAUGGAUGAAAGCGGGGGAUCGCAAGACCUCGCGCGAUUGGAGCGGCCGAGAUCAGAUUAGGUAGUUGGUGGGGUAGAGGCUCACCAAGCCGACGAUCUGUAGCUGGUCUGAGAGGACGAACAGCCACACUGGGACUGAGACACGGCCCAGACUCCUACGGGAGGCAGCAGUGGGGAAUUUUGGACAAUGGGCGCAAGCCUGAUCCAGCCAUGCCGCGUGCAGGAUGAAGGCCUUCGGGUUGUAAACUGCUUUUGUACGGAACGAAAAGGUUUGACUUAAUACGUUGGACUCAUGACGGUACCGUAAGAAUAAGCACCGGCUAACUACGUGCCAGCCGCCGCGGUAA
rnacentral:rRNA from 1 species